rnacentral:lncRNA from 1 species
CCACACAGUUCAAACCCAUGUUGUUCAAGUGUCAACUGUGAUUUCUUCUGAGUGGAGUGAUGCUCCCUGUCACCAAACUCAACCUACUACCUUGCAAAAUCUUCAAAAACCUACAAGGAAUUGAUACUCUAUUAGUUGCUAUGUUUUCACUGUUUUCAUAUAAAUUAUAGUUAACUUUAAUUAGAAUUUAUUUUAUUGCAUUAUGUAUCAUUUCCCUCGUAUCUUUUCCUCCAUUUGUAGUGGGAGUUCCUAUUAUAGAGGGAUUGCAUGAUACUUCAUUUUUAACUCUUUGCACUUAGAGAAACAACUUGCAUGGGACAGUCUUGAUAAUGAAAGGACACUAGAUUACUCAUCAUUCCCAGAGCAAUGGAUAUACAUUUUUCUUAUCUUUACAUGGCUUAUUUUUCUCUAAUUUGGAUAUUUGUUUCCUCUCUAUGGCUGAUAAACUCUUAUUCAUAAUUGAUGAUUUGCUCAACUGUAGCAUUCUUGUGAUUCAUUUUAGAUGUUUAAUAAUUGUAGAUUCCAUGUUUAGGUUUCUGAUCCAUCUCAAAUCAGUUUUUGAGUCUGAUAUGUGAAGUGGCAAAAGUUUAUUUUCUCCCAUUUAUUAAUUUUUUUUUGGUCUUUUGAGGGCCACACCCAAGGCAUAUGGAGGUUCUCAGGCUAGGUGUCUAAUUGGAGCUGCAGUUGCCAGCCUUUACCACAGCCACAGCAAUGUGGGAUCUGAGCCCAUGACCUACGCCACAGCUUCUGGCAAUGCCAGAUCCUCAACCCACUGAGCAAGGCCAGGGAUAUAACCUGUGUCUUCAUGGAUGCUACUCAGGUUUGUUAAGCACUGAGCCAUGACGGGUACUCCUAUUUUCUCCCCAUAGUCUUUAUUCCAUUGCUUCAACACACCACUUGCUGAAAAGAUUUUUCUCUCUCAGUUGAAUUACUUUGUUGCCUCUCAAAAAUAUUUUGAUUAUAAUUAUGAAGAGCUAUUUCUGGAAUCUCUUUUGUUGCAUUGAUCUAUUUGACUAUUUUAUGCCCACACCAUGGACUUGCUUACAUUAGCUUUAUGGUAAAUCUUGAAGCCAAGUAGCAAAAAUCCUCAAAUUUUGUUUUUCUUUUUCAGUAAUGGUUGACUCUUCUAUCUAGGUCCUUUGCAUUUCCAUAUAAAUUUUAGUAUUAGUUUGUCAGUAAUCACAGAAAGCCUAAUAUAAUUGAUUUUUAUAUUGAUCUUGAAUUCCAAGACCUUGCUGAAAUCACCCAUUACAUGUGCUAUGUGUUAUUGUCUAUGAAAAAAAUUUACUUUUUCUUCCCUCCCUCUCAUUUUCCUUAAAUACACUGGCUAAGAUUCUUAGCACAAAAUACAGUGUGUUGAACAAGAAUGGUGAAAAAUACAGAGCCUUUUAUUCUCCUCAAUUUUAGUGGUGGUGAGUCAUAUCUAAUAUUUCAACAGUAAAUCUGAUAUCAGCUGAAAGUUUUUCACAGUUUUUAUUUUUUUUAAGAUAGAGGGUAUUUUCUUCAUUUCUAGAUCCUGAGAGGUUUUUUUUUUUUUAAUCAUAAUGAGUGUUAGAUUUUAUCUAAUCCUUUUUUUGGUCUCUGUUAAGAUAACCAUAUGACUUAUCUCCUUUAUUCUUUUUAAUAAAUGGAUUCUUUUUAAUGUAAUGGAUUACAUUCAUCAACUUCUGAAUGUUAACAUAAUCUUAAAUUCUUCUCAUAAAUUCUACUUAGCCAUUAUGCAUUUUCUAAUUACACAUAUUUUAGAUUGUCUGGUAUUUUCCCUCAGGUAAUUAUCAUUCUGCUCAUUUGUUUUUUUACAUAUUUUUUCCUCUCUAAUUCCUUUAGGGUAGUUUCUAUCAACCUGUUUUUAUUUUUUUAAUUAAAAAAAUUUUUCUUUUUCACAGCUGUACCUGCAGCAUAUGGAAGUUCCUGGGCUAGGGGUUGAAUUGGAGCUGCUGUAGCAGGCCUAUGUCACAGCCGGGGCAACACCGAUUUCAAGAUGCAUCUGUGACCUACAGUGCAGCUUGCAGCAAAUCUGGAUCUUUAACCCGCUGAGUGUGGCCAGGGAUCGAACUUGCAUCCUCAUGGAGACAGGGGUUGGUUCUUAACCAACUGAGCCAUUAUGGGAACUCCUCAACCUGUUUUUAAAUUCACUGAUCAUUUCUUCUGCAGUGAAUUUAAUUCUAGUGUUAGAUUGUUAGGCCAAUUUUUAUAUUGCAGUUUCUAGAAUUCUAGACGUUAGUAGUUUCCUUUUCUCUGCUGAGAUCUGUUGUUCCUUUUAUUUAUUUUUUAAUUUUUAGGCCUACACUUGUAGCAUAUGGAGGUUCUCAGGCUAGGGGUCAAAUCUGAGCUACAGCUGCUGGCCUACACCACAGCCAUGGCAACAUGGGAUCUGAGCUGUGUCUGAGAACUGCAACACUGGAUCCCCUACCCACUGAGUGAGGCCAGGAAUUGAAUCUGCAUCCUCAUGGUAUACUAGUCAGAUUCGUUUCCCCUGAGGCAUGACGGGACUCCUAGGAUGGUUAUUUUAAAGUUCACAUUUACCAGUGCACUGGUAUUAUGAGCUUAGGUCCCUUAGAAAUCUGUCUGCUGAGUCGAUACAUUAUGAUGCCACAAAACUGGAAUAAUGGAAGUAACUCUGAAAAUGGUUAAAAAGUAUUUCGAUAUCCUAUAGACCAAAUGAUGGGGAUUACAGGCUUUGGAAUAUAGCGGAGUUUUAAUUCUGGCUCUAAGCCACUUAAUUCCUACAUGGCUUUGGUAACAUUACUAGACAGUUCAAAUCCUUGAUUUUCUACUCUUAUAAAAUGAUAAUAAUUACUUCAUAUAACAAUUUAAAGUUUUAAACAAAGAUGUGAAUAUAAAGUAUAUGGCCUAAUGUUUGGUAUCUAAUAACCAUUCAAUUCAUGGGGACUGCUUAUUAAUAUUCUUAGCCAGGAGGUGCUGUGCUGCACUGAACAAGAGGGUCCUCUAUGGGUCACUGUUGACAUACUGAUCUUUGAAUUCUUAUAGAAUUCCUAUAGAAUUUUAUUGUAGAGGCAUAAACUAAGGUUAAUGAAAGAAGGUCAAAGAAAUAUAUUAAAGUUUUCUUAAGUAUGGAAGCAAGUAAUUAAAGUAAACACAAACUCUCAUAUAAGGAUGGUUUGGUUUAUAGCUUUUUAUAGUUCAUGCUCAACUUUGAGGCCAUUCCUCAAUAACAUGAGCUUAGAGAUAUCUCAUGUUAUCAUGUUGUCUUCUCUUUUUUUUAGAAACAAACAAACAAAAAGGCAUGAGAAACAGAAAUUCAAGCUCUACAUUUGAUUAAGGACAUCUGUACCCUUAAUAAUCAGAUAUCUAAAAAGGCUGCCACAGCAGUAGGAAAAAUGCUAAAAGGGGCUUUUAUGACUCUAAAUUCUUGGAUCAAGCUGACUGAGGAAAGUUCUUAUUCUGAAGAGCAAACCAACAAUUUUUAUUUUGUGAAACAGGCCUGAGUUUCACAGGCAGAGGGUUUCAUUUUCCCCUCUUCCCAAUGGAGUAAGAGGGAGGGCAAAAAUAAGUGCACUGGAAAUGUGGCAUGGCAAGAGCUGUUACAUGUAGCACUCUAGCUGGAGGUCUCUUUUUAAUGGAAAAAAUAGAGUUAAAUCAACCUGGACAUGAAGACAAUGUAAUCAUAACCCAGGGAGAAUUCUUGUUAGUUUUGUAAUCUUGCUCUAGUGUCUAUCUAAUAAGUAGAAAUACUGAUGAAGAAAUAUUUCUUUUCAUUUGAAGGCAAGUAAUUUAAAAAAAGGAGUCAGUGCAAAUAUACUACAUAGAAAAGAGGAGAAAAGGGAAAGAUGGAUUAAAAAAACUCACCCCAAAUCAUGUCAAUGGUCAGAUAUACUGAGUUAAAACACCAGCAUGACUGAGCGCAACUUAAUAAAACAAGCAUGAAUUCAUGGCUGAGAAAUAAAAGCUCAAUGGUUUAGAAUGAGAUCACAGAUGUAGAAGUAGCAUGAGAAAUACAGAAGUGAAGGAAUACUUAGAAGAUAAAAUAAUCACAGAAAAAAUGUUACCAUUGACAGUUGCAUAUAUGAAAAUAGAUAUUUGUGGAAAAUACAAUAAAAGUUAUGAAAGACAGAUUUUUUUUUUCCUUUUUACAACUGUACCUGUGGCAUGUGGGAGUCCCCAGACUAGGAGUCAAAGCAGAGCUGCAGCUGCAUGUCUACACCAUAGCCACAGCCACACCAGAUUUAAACUGCAUGUAUGACCUACACUGCAGUUUGUGGCAACAUGGAUUCUUAACCCACUAAGUGAGACCGGGAUCAAACCCACAUCCUAAUGGAGACUACUCAGGUUCUUAACUCACUGAGCCACAACAGGAACUCCAGGGCAGAAUUUUUUUAAAUGAGCAAAAAGAAAUGAAACAAGUGAUUUUAAGGGCUAGAAAUAAACCAGUGUCUAUAGAACAAAGGAUCUUACAUUAACCAUAAUUAGUGCCCUUAAAGAGAAACCAAAAAUUAGAAGAGAAAAUAAACAUUUAAUGAUAUAUUUCUAGGGGAAUUUCCACAAAUAAUAGAAGAUUUGACUUUAUUGGUUGAAAUGACUCACUGGAGGAGUUCCUGUCAUGGAGCAGUGGAAAAGAAUCCGACCAGAACCCAUGAGGUUGCAGGUUCAAUCCCUGGCCUCUCAGUGGGUUAAGGAUCCGGCAUUGCUGUGAGCUGUGGUGUAGGUUGCAGAUGCGGCUCAGAUCUGGCAUUGCUGUGGCUCUGGCAUAGGCUGGCAGCAAUAGCUCUGAUUAGACCCCUAGCCUGGGAACCUCCAUAUGCCCAGGUGCAGCCCUAAAAAGACAAAAAAAGAAAAGAAAAAGAAAAGAAAUAAAUGACUUAUUGGAGGAACUUUUACACAGAAUGCUUAACAGUGAGACAAAGCCUGGUGAUUACUUUGUCAAAUAUUAAAAAAAAAAAAAAAUCUUUUUAGUACCUAGGCCAUGUGAUCAAGAUAACAGUAGGUAAAUAAAAUAACAAGACAAGCUGAUCUUUUUAAAAAAACAAAUUCCACACGGGAUAUGGAACUAUGCCACUAAAUUACUCAGCAAAAAUAUGACCUAAAAAUCUGAUGCACAAAUUAUCAUUUAACUCCUGAGGAUAUAUAAUUUUAACACAUGCAAGAAUUAAAUGAUGAUCGUUUCUGUGGACAACAUUUGAAGAACUGUUUUUCAGCCAAAAGACAGAAAAAUGAAUAGACAAUGAUGAAAGGACUGGUGCUCAAUUUUGAAUCUAUUUCCUGAAAGGGAGGAGAUGGAAACAAAUUUAGGUUAUUCCACAAAGUUGGGAAUCAAGUUAUAUUGUAUACAGAUGUUUAGAUUGUUUGCUAGGAAACUCAGAGGGAAAUCAAAAAAGCUGUGGGAGGAGUUCCCGUCGUGGCGCAGUGGUUAACGAAUCCGACUAGGAACCAUGAGGUUGCGGGUUCGGUCCCUGCGCUUGCUCUGUGGGUUGACGAUCCGGCGUUGCCGUGAGCUGUGGUGUAGGUUGCAGACGCAGCUAGGAUCCUGCGUUGCUGUGGCUCUGGCGUAGGCCGGUGGCUACAGCUCCAAUUGGACCCCUAGCCUGGGAACCUCCAUAUGCCGCAGGAGCGGCCCAAAGAAAUAGCAAAAAGACAAAAAAAAAAAAAAAAAAAAAAAAGCUGUGGGAGAAUUUGGUAGUUACCAAGUUACAGAAUUAAUUUUAAAAUGUCAACAGUCUUUCUCUAUAAAAAUAUUUUAAAUAACAGAACACAUGGAAAUAUUUGCAAGAGCAAAGGAAAGGAUGAAGUAUCUAGGAAUAAAAUGAAACAGGAAAUGGGUAAGGUAUAUGUGAAUAAAACCUCUACUCACUGACAUAAAAGAAGAAUUAGUAGACAGGCAUACCUGUUAAGAAUAGAAAGAUUUACUAGUAUAAUGAUGUAAAUUAUUCCUAUAAUGAUCCAUAAAAGAUACAAAUAGGAACUGAAAUUUAAAAAACAAGAAAUGCUCAUUAUAAUAUUUGAAUGUAAAAUAUUCUAAAAAGAAUAAAAAAUGAAAUCAGCACUCCCAAAUAAAAGCACAUAUUAUCAAUCUAAAGAAAUGAAACCAUGUGGUACUCAUAAGUGACAGGUUCAUCAGUGGAGAAUAAAGGGUCUAUAAAUAGAGCAAAGCCAUAGAGGAAUUUAUUAUAAUGUCAGCCAUGUUUUUUAUUCUGGAAAAAGUAUUUUUCAAUAAAUGAUGUGAAUAUCAUCUAAGACACUAAUUUGAUGCGAUCUCACUAUUUACGCAAAGACGAAUUUCCAGGUAAAUCCAAAAUCCUUUAAUUUCUUUC